GAGUUUGAUCUUGGCUCAGGAUGAACGCUGGCGGCGUGCCUAACACAUGCAAGUCGAGCGAAGCGAUCGCUAUGAAGUUUUCGGAUGGAUUAGCGAUCGACUGAGCGGCGGACGGGUGAGUAACGCGUGGGUAACCUGCCUCAUACAGGGGGAUAACAGUUAGAAAUGACUGCUAAUACCGCAUAAGCGCACAGGACCGCAUGGUCCGGUGUGAAAAACUCCGGUGGUAUGAGAUGGACCCG
rnacentral:rRNA from 1 species